UUUCUCCCUGCUAAACAUUCCAGGCAUUUUCAGCCUCUGGCCCAAAGAUCAGAGAGCAGGAUAGCCCCCUCUCCCACUCAUGAAUGAACUGCUAGUUUUGCUUUAUUAUGCAAGCAUAAUGUGGUCCCUUUGUAGUGGGGGGAAAUCUAGAAAAUAUUUGUCAUUCGGGAUAGCCCCAUGUGCUUUGAGCUGCAGCAGAGCAGGGAAGGAUAUAUUUAGCUCGCUCUGUGCUCGGGAUUGCUUUGCCUUUGGCAUUUGGGAGUCCUGUGCUGGAGCAAGUAAUAGUGUCUGUGAAGAUUUCCCUCUGCCUCCUCCCCUUCCUGUCCUUUGAGCCAGGCUGGCAAGUGGCACAAGCCAAUUCAGAUGGUUAUUCAGAUAGGAUGCCUGCUGGGUGCAUAAUCCCCUGGUUUUAGUGGUAGCACUGUGGCCCUGUUGUGCCUGCUGCUGUGAAAAUGCAAUUAACGCCCACUUUCUGCAAGCCAGGCUUGCAGUCACGUGUGGAAGAAGAGUUACCAUGGAGAAUAUGCAAGUGCCUAUUGAGGAACAAAAGUUGCCUGUCAGUGAGUGAGAUUGGGGAAAUAUUUUUCUACCUCCAAAUCCCUCAGUUUCAUCUGUGUUUUGAAGGACACGUUGGUUAUCUGGCAGUGAUACAAGCCAUGGGCUCUCGUGCCCCAUGACAGCCUAUCCAGAUUUGCCCAACGUAUAUUGUGAGUAUUUUUAAGGUGCUGAAGAGCCUCUCUGCCUUCAGUGUAGUGAGUUUGGAACUAGAGACACGCAGUGCGUGAGUACUGCUAGCAGAGUAAUGGCAGUAUUUUUCUUCCUCUCCAUUCCCUCCCCCACUUGCUUUGUUGCCUGCAGGAGAUAAGUUCAUUGACUAACCCAAGCUGGGAAACUUUAGUCUUUGUUGACUAAACUGUCUCAACUGUUAUCACUAGAAAAAGCCAUUGCCUCAGGAGAUGGGUGGGUGCUUAUCACUUGUUUGAAAAUAAAGCAUGUAGAGUUAUGAAUGGAUUUAUUUUCAGUGACAUAGGUUGGGUGUUAUUCAGUUAGCUCUUCUACAAGCUCUGUGUACUGUCUCUUUCUCCACAGCUGUACUUCGUAUAGCGUUGGCUUGUGAACUUUUUUCUUUUCUUUAUGCAAAGGAUAGAUCCUAUUGAGAAGUUUUCAGUUCCUGUGAUCCAUUUAUUAUCCCUUUUUAUCAAGUGACCUGUAGCCACAACACUCAUGUUGCUUUCCAUGGCUACAGGUGAGAUUUACAUGGUAUUUUUUUUAUUUUUCCCAGCUACUGUGUGUCUUGGGCCAUGCAUCACUAUUAACUGAUAAUGCUUGUUCCUAAUAUACAUAAACACAGUGUAUGUUUGUAUAUAAUAAUAGAGAACAUCACAUUUAUAUUCAGGGAAAUGUUAAAAAGAAAACUGUGGGAUCUGGCUGGAUCAGUGCAUGUUACGUGUUUUGUCACGUUCCCUUUGUGUGUAGAACCACCUGUGUGUAGGUCACAUUAGGAAAGCAUAUCUGUUUAAAUAGUUGUGACUUGGUGGCUUGCACUGUCUUUGCCACUGUGUGCUUUGGAGUAAAUCCAGAGUUACUUCCAUGACUGGUGCUGUUGGUGAUGCUGACAGCCCUCACUGAAGAACUAAAGGGAGUGAGAAACCCCUUCUAGUGGUAAAGCUGGACCUGAAAGAUGCACCCCCCAGGGGCUGAGGGAGACGCACAGCUGCUCAGUCUCGUGUAUCUGCUGGGUGUAUGGACUGGAACAUGUCCCAGCCCCUUCAGCUGUGUUCCCAACUGGGGUUGCCCAACUGGGGCUGGAAUGCAGCUGACCCUUGUGGCAGGAUCAGUUGGUUCUGCCAGAGGAGGAGGAUGUGGAUUCAGGUGUAGCCAGUCUGGCUUCUUCCUACCCCAAAAUCGGAGUCAUGCUGCUGGCCCCCUUCUCCAGUGUACUGCUAGGCAUGAUGUACUUGCACUGUUCUGGAGACCCAGUUCGUGCUGGCUUGAGCAAAAGGAGGGAUUUGGCUUAUGGAAGGAUCUUGGACCGUUCAUCCUCACUUCUCCCACUGGCUGCAUUCAACUUCUGUCUAUUGAAAGCUGAGUUCUGAAGUGUGGGCAGAAAGGUGCUGGUAAGGGCCAUUUCCAGGGCAGCUCUUGACUCCAGCAACAUGUUGGAUCAAUGCUGAGAGUUGUCAGCUUGCCUUUUAUCUCUGACAGCAUCCGCUGUUUUUACUUGUUGGGAGCAUUUAAAACGUUUUGUUGCUGUUAGCAAAGAUGAACUCCUAUAGAAAGAAGUCAUGUUGCUCAGAUGUGAAAUACUAAGUGCUAACUCAGGAGGCUUCAGGCAUGCUGUAAUUGCCUUGUAAACGUAGAUGCCUGGUUGUGAAAGGUCUUAUCAUUGCCGUUCAGCCACUUAUUUCUUGGAAGGAACAUGUCCUUCUUGGUAAGGGAUGAUUUAGUUGUUUUUUGUGUAUUUUUUUCCUUCCAUCCAGCAGAUUCUUAAUUAAAACAGAAUUAUAGCCUGAGUAGUUCUUAGAAAACAAAGGAACAUGAUCUGCUGAGCAUUAGCAGAUUGUAAUUUCUAUUAAAAAUUUUCUCACUUUAAUGCAGUUACCAAAGAUCCAGCUGUGGUUUUGGCAUUAAUGGGUGGUUAUCAAUACUGAAUUGGAAGCACGUGGGACUGGUUGGAUUUUUAUAGCUUACCCUCAAUUAUACUGUAGUAGAAAAUAGGCCUUUUUGGAUGUUAACUCAUGUAUCUUAAAGCAGGAUGUAUUCCCAAACCAGCCUCAGGAAAGAGCCCUUCAGUGUUGGCUUAUGUACAGUGGGGGGACCUGAAUCGAUGUGUCACAUUGCUAAUCCCUGGUAUUCAGUUUGCAGGUGGAAGCACUGCCCCGAUUGUCUCAGUGGUAUUUAGGAGAGAUCACUGUAUGGAAUUGGCUUUUUAUUAUUAGCAUUUUAAUAUAGAAACAACGACAAGCACAAAUCCUUUUGUCUUAACUGGAUUUCAUUGUUGUUUUAAUUUGCAGCAGCAUAGAGAAGGACAUACAAGAGUUUAAAUAUAAUAGAUAUCCGAGUAACACAACUCUGGAACUUGUGUUUCAUUGCUUAAAUUACUACGAGGGGUCUUUCCUUAGUAGGGCAGGUGUGUGCAGCAUUUGUGCCUGUCACUAGAGAAAUGGCCUUUUCAGAAAACACUAUUCACAUCAAGGAAGAAAAUGAUAGUCUCCAUAACGUAGGUAAUGUACAAGAGUGAUGGCUAUUUGUGUCUAAGAAGGCUGUGUUCCUCUGUCCUUGUAAUAAAGCUUAGGGCCUUGAGAAACAACGAGCUCUGGCGUGGGAGGAGGCCAGCAAUUGCUGCUCUGUCUUUGCACAAUACUGCAAUGCUGUCUGACCCCAGCAUUGUUCUAAUUUUUUCUAGCUCUUGCUAAUAAAUCCAAUUGAGGAAAAAAAUAUAUAUAUUUUUUUUUUCGGUGCCCCAUGGAAUACUGCCAACUUAAUGCAGUGCCAGCCUCAUGUUGCCAGUGGUGUGGUGGCAGCAGGGGUUUGGAUGCCUCCAGAUGUCUUCUGAGGUCAGGGCCCCAGGGUGGCUUCACAGGAUGUGUCCUGCUGUCUCAGGAACAGCUGGUGAAUUGUUUUCUUGGAUGCUUUUGCAAUGGUUUCUAAUAAAAAUCCCUUGGUUUUCUUGAAUAAAUGCUAGAUAUUCCAAAAAUCUCCAGCAAAGAAGUUUCAGUGCUUCUUUGAAGGACGCUGAGUUGGAAAAGUGUGGUUGAGCAGAUGUCAGUGGAUUUGUGGAUGAAUUCAGGGACGACCUUGGGGGCGCGGGGGGAAUGGUGUGCCUGAUGGCCCAGCAGGGCAGGGCCAGGCAUGGGAGCUGGGAGUGCCGCAGCUGGUGGGCAGGAGCUGUGCUGGUGUGCAGAAGCAGGACACGGUGGCGGUUUAGCUGGAUUUUCCUGUCCUUCUGGGAGGAAGCACUGCAAUACCCUCGUGCCUGUCCAAACCAACUGGGACAAUGAAACCAGCAAUCAUCAGUGAUGAUGCAUGCACUCCCCUUUGCUGGAAAAGCCUCUGUGUCUCUUACCUUUGUUUCAGCUCACAGCUGAUUUUUAUUCCUGUCCUCCCACUCCCCCUUCCCCCCCACCCACAAAUGCAAGUUCUUCCAUUCUCGGCCUUGCAAACAAACCCAGAGCACCAACCACCCCAGCAAUGAACACCUAAGAUGGUGGAGGAGGGAUGACUGUGAAAUGGCGGCCGGGAGCUUGGCUGCGUGCCCUGUGCUGGAGGGAUUUGGGAUGAGGCUCCCGCUGCGCUCGGCUGCUGCCCUCUGCCCGCUCCUUGGGAGAAGGCAGCUGCAGCCCGGCUGCAGGGAGGCCUCGCAGGACUUAACAGCAGUUCUGAGCAUCUGGGGCUGAGAAUGGAGAUCCGACUUCCCCGGUGUGACCGGUCCCAUCUGCACGUGGAUGUGCAUGCCAGCAGCAGCUGCCUGCAGCUAGUGGAUGCCUCUGAAGUGUGUGUUGAUUUCUGCAUCUUGUUAUGUAAUUACAUAUAUGCAUUUAUUUGGUGUAUUUUUAAUCAUGAUCUCUGAGCAGAGUUUUCAAUGUAUCUUGUAUAAAUGGAGGAAAAAUUAAAAAUCUGCUUUCCCUCUG